GGAGAUGCGGAUUUGCCUGGACCGCGAAUCAUUCCAUAGCACGCCUUAAAAGGAACUGCUAAUGCGGUUUGGGUGCAAGCCCAUCCGGGGUUCAAAUCCCCGAUCCUCCGCCA
rnacentral:tRNA from 1 species